rnacentral:rRNA from 1 species
GAUGAACGCUGGCGGCUGCUUAACACAUGCAAGUCGAACGAAGAUGCCGGAGUGCUUGCACUUUGGCAGACUGAGUGGCGGACGGGUGAGUAACGCGUGGGUAACCUGCCUUAUACAGGGGGAUAACAGUUGGAAACGACUGCUAAUACCGCAUAAGCGCACGGUAUCGCAUGAUACAGUGUGAAAAACUCCGGUGGUAUAAGAUGGACCCGCGUCUGAUUAGCUUGUUGGUGAGGUAACGGCCCACCAAGGCGACGAUCAGUAGCCGGCCUGAGAGGGUGAACGGCCACAUUGGGACUGAGACACGGCCCAAACUCCUACGGGAGGCAGCAGUGGGGAAUAUUGCACAAUGGGGGAAACCCUGAUGCAGCGACGCCGCGUGAGUGAUGAAGUAUUUCGGUAUGUAAAACUCUAUCAGCAGGGAAGAUAAUGACGGUACCUGACUAAGAAGCACCGGCUAAAUACGUG